GAUAAAUCGAUCCCUGAGCGCUCUCCUGUCGACUCCUGUACUCCACUGCCGGGAGAGUGCAGGCGGAGUCGAUGGGGGGAGCGGCAGCAGUCGACUCACAGCGGUGAAGACACCAUGCACAGAUGGUUGGAAAUAACGAACAGGCAACUCACUGAAGGAGGCGUUUGCAGCUAUAGACGCUCCACGGGUUACGCAAGAUCCGACUAAAGCAAAUUCGACCUUAUGCAAAAAGUUCCAUAAGGCAUAAAUAAAAUGUUCGAGUUGCAGAAAAUAUUGCGUAACGUACGGGAACGCAAAAUACUGUAGUGCAGUGUGCAGAGUAAUACAGCAGUAGCAUCUCCUACAAGGGAAGGCUUUGUGCUCUCACAGCCUCUCAGUCUCGUGUUAUUUCAGUGAUACUGUAUUUCUAUUAUUUCACCCUGUUAUUUCAUUCAAAUCAUGCCUGGAAAGCGAUCAAGUGAUAUCAAGAGUGCAGGACCAGUUCGUAAGCGAAAGAAGAUUGAUUUAGAGCAGAAAAUGAAAAUAGUGAAAAAGUAUGAAGGCGGACAAAGCCUGUCGUCAAUUGCUCGUGAACUCGAUUUGGCUACCUCAACAGUGAAAAGUAUUUUGAAUGAUAGUGCACGCAUAAAGGAACACGUGAAAGGCUCUGCUCCUUUAAAAUCAACAGUCAUAACAAAGCAGCGUUCUGGCGCUAUCUAUGAAAUGGAAAAGUUAUUAACAAUAUGGAUGGACGAUCAGAUUCAAAAACGUGUGCCGCUUAGCCUCAUGAUUAUUCAAGCAAAGGCUAAAAGUAUUUUCGAAGACAUAAAGGGAAAAUACAGUGAUCCUAACGCAAAGUUUGUGGCUAGUCAUGGGUGGUUUAAUAGAUUUAAACAACGUGCAAAUUUUCACAAUGUAAAAGUGAGUGGCGAGGCUGCUAGUGCUGAUACAAAAGCAGCUGAAAAGUAUCCCGAAGUGUUACGAAAACUUAUAGAAGAAUGUGGUUAUACAGCACAACAAAUCUUUAACGUCAACGAAACUGGAUUGUUUUGGAAAAAAAUGCCAGACAGAACAUACAUUUCAAAAGAGGAAAAGACGACGCCAGGGUUUAAGGCUGCGAAAGAUAAGCUAACGCUUUUGCUUGGGGGUAAUGCAGCGGGAGAUUGCAAAUUGAAACCAUUGCUUGUUUAUCAUUCAGAAAAUCCCCGUGCGUUUAAAGGCAUUAGCGAGGUUAACCUUCCAGUUCAUUUCCGUUCAGAUCGAAAGGCUUGGAUCACAAUGGCACUUUUCGAAGACUGGUUUAUAAAUUUAUUUAUCCCCGAAGUGGAAAAAUUCUGCAGAGAAAACAACAUCCCGUUCAAGAUUAUGCUUAUCGUCGAUAAUGCUCCUGGACAUCCUGCACAUUUAGAUGACUAUCACCCUAAUGUAAAAGUCGUGUUUCUGCCUCUUAACAAGACUUCGAUCCUACAGCCCAUGGCUCAGGGGGUCAUUGCUAAUUUUAAAGCCUGUUAUCUACGAAGAACAUUUGCACAAGCAGUCGAAGCAACAGACAGAGAGACUGGGAAGACUUUACAUGAUUUUUGGAAAUCGUAUAACAUUUACCAAGCCAUCAUAAAUAUUGCUAAGGCCUGGGCAGAGGUUACCCAAGUUUGUUUGAAUGCCGUAUGGAAGAAAAUGUGCCCACAGUUCGUACACAGCUUUAAAGGUUUUGAAAAAGACAAAACAUAUGAGGAGGUGGCAGAUGAAAUUGUGAAGCUUGCCAAGCAGCUUGAGCUGGAGAUUGAUGUUGGUGAUGUAGAUGAGUUUAUCGAAUCCCAUGGAGCUGAAUUAUCAAAUGAGGAUCUCAUGGAAUUAGAAGCAGCAAAAGUAAAAGAACAGACUGAAGCUGAGGAUGAAGUUGAAGUAGUAGAAGAGCCACGACACUUCAACACCAAGGAGAUGGCACUUGCAUUUCGUGAGAUUGACUCUGCACUGGCAAGGUUUGAGAAGAUGGACCCCAAUUCCUCACGAUUCUUGAAAGUAAACAGAGGCAUUGACGAAACGCUGGCCUGUUAUAGACAGAUAUAUGAAGAGAAGAAAAAGGCCACCAUCCAGUCAUCUCUCAAUAUGUUUGUAAUGAAGACUGAACAGCCUGCAACGUCCACAUCUCCACAGCCUUCCACUGCCAAAGCCCCCUCUGACGACCCCAAUGAUGUAAUGCCUGUCUCCUCCUCUCCUUCCUCAUCUACAAAUUAAGCCCAUUGUCAUGCACCACCAAAAUGGAGCCUUCAGUGUGCCAGGAUAACAAUAGGAUUAAGAUUUUCAAUGUUUGAAUCCAGGGCUGCAAAAUAAUUGGAUGACUUGCCAUCCAGUGCUGCUACAGACGCAUCUGCAGUGGGGCAGAGCAGAGAUGUGCUGGGCGAUUCCUUCCUGCAUUUAAAUUGAAAUAAUGAGCAUGUGUUGUGUUCCUCUGUACCCCACUUACACUCAAAGGCCAAAACUCAGGUGAGUUUGAGGACUCAUUGUGAAAGCAUCUGCUUUGUUUCCAGAUAAGAGUAACUGACCUAUCUGAAGCAAGGGGGGAAGUUUACCUGCUCUGUGGAAAAGGUAAAUUUCCCAUCCUUUCCCUUGCUGUCAUUCCUACAGAAAGGGAGCAUUUUAAAACCAAACACAGAAGGUCAAAUCUUCCCCUGGUGCCUUUAUUCAUCUAAAAAGGCUGCAGCUGUACAAAACUACCCUCACAAUUCAAUACAUGAAGAAAAAUUACAAAGACUAGAGCCAAAGUUAUCCAGCAAAAUCAGAUGCCAAAGAAAACUGUUGCCAGCUAUUUUAUUAAUUUCUCUCAUGUGGGAAUUUUAGUCCUUUACAUUUGUUUAUCCAAUAAUUAAAGCAGCUUAUUAACCAGAAUCCAUCCAUCACAAACUUGACAGCUCCUGGGUUGGCUAAUUCUAUUUUAUAAAGGAAAUACAGAGUCCCCGUUGGCUGACUUGUUUGUGAAACUACUUCUGCAGUGCUAGCAAAAUUGACAUUUAAUUCCAUUUGAUCGGGGGGGGGAGGGGAGAAUGACACACAUGAUGAGCAGCCUCAGAUUCUAAACCAGUACCCUUGUCUAUGGAGGGCAAUGUGCUUGCGAUUGGCCUUCUGGGUAUAUUAUUGCAUUAGCAUAUUACACACUACUGAUCAGGAUCCCUGCUCAACUCCUGAUGCGAUUGGCUGGCGCUCCUACGUCCAAGUUUCUUAACCUUGCCUUAUGUUGCCUUGUGUUGGCAUUUGAUCCUGAGGAGGCGUGAAGGAAAUGGGUCUAAAUAAACCAAGCCAUCUGCCAAGGUGAAGCAGCUCAGUGAUGGAAUUAAAAGCCAGAGACACCUGCUGUUGAUUAGCUCUGUCCUCUUGUACAGAAGUACAAGUAAACAACCUCCAUGCCAGGUGGCUUUGUAUACACCCGAGUGCACUGUAUGUACACAGCUACUGCAAGAGAAGCGGUGUGGCCCAUGGGAAUGGGCACUGCACUGGGAGGCAGGAGAUCUGGGUUCUAAAUAAAUACACUAAAAGUGGCAAUUGCGGGGGGCCAUUUAAGUCCAAUAGAGAGGAGUUGAAAGACUAACUGCUCCCAUGCAAGGGCUUGUCUACACACAGCUUUUGUAUCAGUUUCAAACCAGCACAAGGGUGCUGGAACAAUGUGUAUAGUGGAGGUGCUGAGAGUCAUUGCACCAAACUGUAAACCCUGCCACUUCAAGCUAGGGGGUAUGGCAGCACCCCUAGUUCCAGCACCCACGAACCAGUAUGAAGCAAUACAACCUUCUAGUGUUGGUACUGUUAGCUACACAUAGGUCUUGGGGAAAAUUAAACCAAUAUGGUUAUAACUCAUCUGUCUUUUUUUUUUCCAAUGUAACCUAUGUCAUUGCAUCCACACACUAGGGGUAUCCCAAUAUAACUAUACUAAACUAAUAUCUAAUCAUACCCCUAACUGAAAUAAUUACAAUAGUCCAAAGCCUGGGUUUAGAGUAGGCAUAAAUGCACUGACCGUCACCACCUCUUUAAAAGCAGUAGCUAUCCUGGGAACCACUUUAUAGGACUUAAAAUGAGUAAUUCUGCCUAUGCCCAACACAGAGAAUGCGUGAGUCAUUAAUUAGACAGCACUUUGCAUCAGGAGAUCUCAAAGCACUUUACAAAAUUGGUCAGUAUCAUUACCCUCAUUUUACAGAUGAGGAAACUGAGGCAUGAGCUGUUAGUUGCCCAGAGUCACCCAGCAAACAAGUGGCAGAGCCAGGAAUUGAACCUAGGUCUCGUGAGUGCCAUUUCAGUGCACUGUCCAUUGGGAAACACCACCUCCAAACUAACUUUUUAACUUAAGAAUGCAAUUAGACACAUCAUCCAUACCCAGCUAUUUUAAUUAGAAAACCUAGUCUGAAUACAGGCUGGGAAAUUGCUACGAUUAACAUAAACAACCAGGGCAUUCCCCACUAUAUAUAUAUUAAAAUCACAUUUCUCCUUUGGGAAGUUUCUGUUGGCAUAUUCAUGGCCACAAGACACAGCAUUUUCUCCCCUUUCUCUGGCUCUUAGCAAAUAUUAGACAGAAGUCUGUACAAAACUCCUCACCUGGACAGGCUCUCACUGUGUAAUUCACGUCUUUCUAUAUCAUCAAAGAAUGGGCUCUCCGGUUUAGCCUGCUCCUCUUCUAGCUCUGGACUUUCACAUUCCUGAGUAGACAUCGUAACCUUUAAAAUGUAGAGAGAUUUUUCAGGAGGCUGCAUGGAUCAGGCACUGCAUUGGGACUUAUUCUAGCCCUUGGCUCUGCCACUAAUUUGCUGUGUGACUCUUCUGCCUUGUCUAUUUAGAGUAGAAACUCUCCAGAGCAGGGACUGUCUCUUACAAAGUAUUUGUACAACUCUUAGCAAAAUGGGGCCCUGAUCUUGUUGCAGCCGCUAGUCUCUAAAGUAACAUAUAAUUAAUAAGAAUAACAGGCUCAAAAUCACUGACCUACAUGAGCUAUUAAAUCAAACUGAGAGUUUAAAACAAAUUCAAUAGAGCUUGAUGGAAACUUUUGAUGACAUUUUGGGGGGGUUGGAAAAUGCUGAUUCCUCCUAACUGAAUCUUCCCAUGGGACCAUGUCAGUUUUGAUUAAAUUUUUGUUUAAUAUCAAAACAGCUGUUUUUGACAUGUUCAUAAUUACACAUUUGGAAUUUUCAGUUCAAAACUACUUUUUGGUUAAAAAUGUGUGAUAUUUUAUAUUUUUAAAUAUUUUUUAAAUAAAAAAGGUCAAAACUGAAACACGACAGAUUGAAUUAAUGGAAAGGAAAUAUUUCAAUUUACCCCAAAUGAUUUUUUUCAGUGUUUCAGUUUAUGAAAAAUUUUGAGAUUUUGGCUCUUCGUCCCUAUUUGGAACCAGGAAAAAAGUAAAAGUCUCAAAAUUUGUCAUAGGAUGGGAAAUCCAUUUCCUGACUAGCUCUAAUAUUGAGUCUGUUUCUCUUCUACACUAGUUUUACACUGAUAUAACUUCACUGGAGUUACUCCCAAUUUAGUUAGAGAGCUGGACAAAAUACGCUAUUUUUAUCUAUGACUUGAUUUCACUUGGAGAGUUUUAAAUAGUCUGUAUUUUAUGAGAUGUAUUUUAGGGCAAAAUUUGCUAAGCUGAUAUUUAUUGUAAGAAAACUGUUAAAACACUGAGGAUACGUAUAUAAAUAUAAAGACACUGCAACUCUAACCUCUGUUAGAGGACUAUGAAAUUACAUCUGUCUAGAAACAUUUUGAUCUUUCUAGCUCUAUAAGUCAAUUGUAUUUACCUAGAUUGUAAAUUCUGUGGAAUAAGGAAUGUCUUUUUGUUGUGGGUGUAUGUACAGCAUCUAACACUAUCCCCAGGCAAGAGGUUCUAGCAAUUACUAUAAUAAUAAUAAUUAAUAAUAAAGCACCUAGAACCUACGCUGGUUACCUGGAUUUGAAAGUAUAACCUUGUCUGACCUCAGCCAAGUUCUUCAAAACUCUAUAGGAAAUUAAUUUUGAAAAGGAGAGAUAAGUACAUACAAUGAUUGUUAAAUUCACAUCAUUUACUAAGCUGAAAUGUUGCAGGAAGCUAGCUAUUGACCACUCAUUACAAUUCUGCUCCACACCCUCCCUCCUUUAUAUAACUAGAUAAGUUUUACUGGGAAAAAUCUGACUUCUGGAUUCCCUGCUCUGAGGAUAUUAGCUGUUUUUCUUAAAGCCCCAGCUCCUGGGAUCAUGUGAGCAUCUGUUUUCAUUAAAAACAAAAAAAUGAAAGAAGCCAUUCUUAGGUCUUGUGGUUGAGGAAAAAUGCUUGAAAUCAUGAUCCUCUAAAGACAGCAAAUAAUCAGACACCCAAAUGUAUUUGUCUAUUUAUUAUUUUUUAAGCCAAUCUCAUGAUCUUUUUAGGAUUUGGGGUUGGAUUUUUGGGGGGUUGGCAGUACUGUGACUCCUAAUAUCUGCUUUUUAAAAAAAAACUGAUCAAAGAAGAUUUUCUCAUGCUCAAAAAGGUCCUAAAAGCAUUCCCACUGAGUCUGAAUACCGAUGGUGGCCGAAGGACAGGAAUGAGUAAGAAAUCCUAGAUAGCCACAGAUUUCUGGCAGGUUUCAGGUGCAUUGGGAGAGCUAUUUGGAGAAGCAUGAACAUCAUCUACCCUCACUUGUUGCUUUGCCCCAGGAGAGGCUCACCCACAAGAGAUUUUGGUUUCUGCAGCUCAGAAGCGCAGGAUCUCAACGCUUUCCCACAUCUCGCUGGGUAUGCACCUCGCUAGCAUUCUUCAUGCCCAUCUGAAUGCAGUAGGUUCCCGCCAGUAAGAAAUGAAAAUAAACUGGCAGUUGCCAGCGGUGCUGAAAACAUGGUGAUUGAAGAGAACACUAUAGACAGAGGCACUCGUGGUCUCAUGGCGAGAGGGCUCUUUAAUACAAAUUUGCAUGAUUGUGUCCAACCAGGGGAGGCAACUUCUACUGAGAUGUAUUUGCUGCUUUUUAGAGUCCACUACUCCCUUCACCCCAAUCCAGUCAUGUAUAUGGGAAGUAUGGGAAACCAGCAAGAGAUGGCUUUGUUUUUAGUGCCUGCCUGUAUUAAAGAAGCAAAGAAAAGCAAAGACCCCACUGCUGUCUGGAACAGCUUAAUAAAAAUCCAUAGAUUUGUUCUACAUAA